UACAGAGGGUGCAAGCGUUGUUCGGAAUUAUUGGGCGUAAAGCGCGCGUAGGCGGCUAUUCAAGUCAGAGGUGAAAUCCCUGGGCUCAACCCAGGAACUGCCUUUGAAACUGUAUAGCUUGAGUGUCGGAGGGGAUAGCGGAAUUGCUAAUGUAGAGGUGAAAUUCGUAGAUAUUAGCAGGAACACCGGUGGCGAAGGCGGCUAUCUGGACGACAACUGACGCUGAGGCGCGAAAAUGUGGGGAUCAAACAGG
rnacentral:rRNA from 1 species